rnacentral:lncRNA from 1 species
AUGAAACAUUGAAAUUUGCAUGAUUUUGGUUGAUGAACAACAUGAUUUCUUUUUUAAGUUUCUUGUUGAAAACCAUAUUAAGUCGUUGGACAAAAUUGUAAGAUAAUCGAUUAUCUUCUCCAGAUAAUCGACUAUCUUGUAAAGUUCACCAAAAUUUUGCAAAACAGAAGCAGCAAAUCAUCGACUAUGCAUUUUGAAUAAUCGAUUAUUGAAAAUUUUUUGAAACAACACUGCAGGAUAAU